rnacentral:rRNA from 1 species
AGCCGAUGCUUAUUCUUCAGGUACACGUCAUUUUGUUCCUCCCUGAAAAAAGAGGUUUACAACCCAUAGGCAGUCAUCCCUCACGCGAGAUUGCUCCGUCAGGCUUUCGCCCAUUGCGGAAAAUUCCCCA